AUUGAACGCUGGCGGCAGGCCUAACACAUGCAAGUCGAACGGUAACAGGAAGAAGCUUGCUUCUUUGCUGACGAGUGGCGGACGGGUGAGUAAUGUCUGGGAAACUGCCUGAUGGAGGGGGAUAACUACUGGAAACGGUAGCUAAUACCGCAUAACGUCGCAAGACCAAAAAGGGGGACCUUCGGGCCUCUUGCCAUCGGAUGUGCCCAGAUGGGAUUAGCUAGUAGGUGGGGUAACGGCUCACCUAGGCGACGAUCCCUAGCUGGUCUGAGGGGAUGACCAGCCACACUGGAACUGAGACACGGUCCAGACUACUACGGGAGGCAGCAGUGGGGAAUAUUGCACAAUGGGCGCAAGCCUGAUGCAGCCAUGCCGCGUGUAUGAAGAAGGCCUUCGGGUUGUAAAGUACUUUCAGCGGGGAGGAAGGGAGUAAAGUUAAUACCUUUGCUCAUUGACGUUACCCGCAGAAGAAGCACCGGCUAACUCCGUG
rnacentral:rRNA from 1 species